rnacentral:rRNA from 24 species
AUAAACGACUCUCGGCAACGGAUAUCUCGGCUCACGCAUCGAUGAAGAACGUAGCAAAAUGCGAUACUUGGUGUGAAUUGCAGAAUCCCGUGAACCAUCGAGUUUUUGAACGCAAGUUGCGCCCGAAGCCAUUCGGCCGAGGGCACGUCUGCCUGGGCGUCACGC